GAUGAACGCUGGCGGCGUGCCUAAUACAUGCAAGUCGAGCGAACAGACGAGGAGCUUGCUCCUCUGACGUUAGCGGCGGACGGGUGAGUAACACGUGGAUAACCUACCUAUAAGACUGGGAUAACUUCGGGAAACCGGAGCUAAUACCGGAUAAUAUAUUGAACCGCAUGGUUCAAUAGUGAAAGACGGUUUUGCUGUCACUUAUAGAUGGAUCCGCGCCGCAUUAGCUAGUUGGUAAGGUAACGGCUUACCAAGGCAACGAUGCGUAGCCGACCUGAGAGGGUGAUCGGCCACACGGGAACUGAGCCACGGUCCAGACUCCUACGGGAGGCAGCAGUAGGGAAUCUUCCGCAAUGGGCGAAAGCCUGACGGAGCAACGCCGCGUGAGUGAUGAAGGUCUUCGGAUCGUAAAACUCUGUUAUUAGGGAAGAACAAAUGUGUAAGUAACUAUGCACGUCUUGACGGUACCUAAUCAGAAAGCCACGGCUAACUACGUG
rnacentral:rRNA from 1 species